AUACGGAGGGUGCAAGCGUUAAUCGGAAUUACUGGGCGUAAGGCGCGCGUAGGCGGUUUAGUAAGUCGGAUGUGAAAGCCCUGGGCUCAACCUGGGAAUUGCAUUCGAUACUGCUUGACUAGAGUAUGGUAGAGGGAAGUGGAAUUUCCGGUGUAGCGGUGAAAUGCGUAGAUAUCGGAAGGAACACCAGUGGCGAAGGCGACUUCCUGGGCCAAUACUGACGCUGAGGUGCGAAAGCGUGGGGAGCAAACAGGAUUAGAAACCCGGGUAGUCC
rnacentral:rRNA from 1 species